UACAGAGGGUGCGAGCGUUGUCCGGAAUCACUGGGCGUAAAGGGCGCGUAGGCGGCGGGGUAAGUCGGGUGUGAAAUCUCAGAGCUCAACUCUGAAACUGCACUCGAUACUGCUCUGCUUGAGGACUGGAGAGGAGACUGGAAUUCACGGUGUAGCAGUGAAAUGCGUAGAUAUCGUGAGGAAGACCAGUGGCGAAGGCGGGUCUCUGGACAGUUCCUGACGCUGAGGCGCGAAGGCCAGGGGAGCAAACGGG
rnacentral:rRNA from 1 species